rnacentral:rRNA from 1 species
UACGUAGGGUGCAAGCGUUAAUCGGAAUUACUGGGCGUAAAGGGCGCGUAGGCGGACAGUUAAGUUGGGGGUGAAAGCCCGGGGCUCAACCUCGGAAUUGCCUUCAAUACUGGCUGUCUUGAGUGUGAGAGAGGUGUGUGGAACUCCGAGUGUAGAGGUGAAAUUCGUAGAUAUUCGGAAGAACACCAGUGGCGAAGGCGACACACUGGCUCACUACUGACGCUGAGGCGCGAAAGCGUGGGGAGCAAACAGG